rnacentral:rRNA from 1 species
AUAGCUCACUGGUCGAGUCGGCCUGCGCGGAAGAUUUAACGGGGCUAAGCUAUACACCGAAGCUGCGGCAAUGUGCUAUGCACAUUGGGUAGGGGAGCGUUCUGUAAGCCGUUGAAGGUGUGUUGUAAAGCAUGCUGGAGGUAUCAGAAGUGCGAAUGCUGACAUGAGUAACGACAAAGGGAGUGAAAAACUCCCUCGCCGGAAGACCAAGGGUUCCUGUCCAACGUUAAUCGGGGCAGGGUGAGUCGACCCUAAGGCGAGGCCGAAAGGCGUAGUCGAUGGGAAACGGGUUAAUAUUCCCGUACUUCUUACUAUUGCGAUGGGGGACGGAGAAGGCUGGUGAGCCUGGCGACGGUUGUCCAGGUCCAAGUACGUAGGUGGAUGAAUUAGGCAAUCCGGUUCAUCAUUAACACUGAGAUACGAUGUCGAGCUACUACGGUAGCGAAGUCAUUGAUGCCAUGCUUCCGGGAAAAGCCUCUAAGCUUCAGAUAGUAAGAAAUCGUACCCCAAACCGACACAGGUGGUCGGGUAGAGAAUACCAAGGCGCUUGAGAGAACUCGGGUGAAGGAACUAGGCAAAAUGGUACCGUAACUUCGGGAGAAGGUACGCUCUUAACGGUGAAGUCCCUCGCGGAUGGAGCUGUCGAGAGUCGCAGAUACCAGGUGGCUGCAACUGUUUAUUAAAACACAGCACUGUGCAAAAUCGAAAGAUGACGUAUACGGUGUGACGCCUGCCCGGUGCCGGAAGGUUAAUUGAUGGGUUAGACGUAAGUCGAAGCUCUUGAUCGAAGCCCCGGUAAACGGCGGCCGUAACUAUAACGGUCCUAAGGUAGCGAAAUUCCUUGUCGGGUAAGUUCCGACCUGCACGAAUGGCGUAAUGAUGGCCACGCUGUCUCCACCGAGACUCAGUGAAAUUGAAAUCGCUGUGAAGAUGCAGCGUACCCGCGGCUAGACGGAAAGACCCCGUGAACCUUUACUACAGCUUGGCACUGAACAUUGACCCUACAUGUGUAGGAUAGGUGGGAGACUUUGAAACGCAGACGCCAGUUUGCGUGGAGUCGUCCUUGAAAUACCACCCUUGUAGUGUUGAUGUUCUAACUUGGCCCAUUAUCUGGGGUGAGGACAGUGCCUGGUGGGUAGUUUGACUGGGGCGGUCUCCUCCCAAAGAGUAACGGAGGAGCACGAAGGUGGGCUAAUCACGGUCGGACAUCGUGAGGUUAGUGCAAUGGCAUAAGCCGCUUAACUGCGAGAAUGACGGUUCGAGCAGGUGCGAAAGCAGGUCAUAGUGAUCCGGUGGUUCUGUAUGGAAGGGCCAUCGCUCAACGGAUAAAGGUACUCCGGGGAUAACAGGCUGAUACCGCCCAAGAGUUCAUAUCGACGGCGGUGUUUGGCACCUCGAUGUCGGCUCAUCACAUCCUGGGGCUGAAGUCGGUCCCAAGGGUAUGGCUGUUCGCCAUUUAAAGUGGUACGCGAGCUGGGUUUAGAACGUCGUGAGACAGUUCGGUCCCUAUCUGCCGUGGGCGUUGGAUGAUUGAGAGGGGCUGCUCCUAGUACGAGAGGACCGGAGUGGACGAACCUCUGGUGUUCGGGUUGUGUCGCCAGACGCAUUGCCCGGUAGCUAAGUUCGGAAUCGAUAACCGCUGAAAGCAUCUAAGCGGGAAGCGAGCCUCAAGAUGAGUCAUCCCUGAUACUUUAAGUAUCCUAAAGGGUUGUUGGAGACUACGACGUAGAUAGGCAGGGUGUGUAAGCGCUGUGAGGCGUUGAGCUAACCUGUACUAAUUGCCCGUGAGGCUUAACCAU